UACAGAGGUCCCAAGCGUUGUUCGGAUUCAUUGGCGUAAAGGGUGCGUAGGCGGCGCGGUAAGUCGGGUGUGAAAUCUCGGGCUUAACUCCGAAACUGCAUUCGAUACUGCCGUGCUUGAGGACUGGAGAGGAGACUGGAAUUUACGGUGUAGCGGUGAAAUGCGUAGAUAUCGUAAGGAAGACCAGUGGCGAAGGCGGGUCUCU
rnacentral:rRNA from 1 species